AGAGUUUGAUUAUGGCUCAGGAUGAACGCUGGCGGCGUGCUUAACACAUGCAAGUCGAACGGGCUCAUAUUGAAACCUAGUGAUGUAUGAGUUAGUGGCGGACGGGUGAGUAACGCGUGGAGAACCUGCCGUAUACUGGGGGAUAACACUUAGAAAUAGGUGCUAAUACCGCAUAAGCGCACAGCUUCGCAUGAAGCAGUGUGAAAAACUCCGGUGGUAUACGAUGGAUCCGCGUCUGAUUAGCUGGUUGGCGGGGUAACAGCCCACCAAGGCGACGAUCAGUAGCCGGCCUGAGAGGGUGAACGGCCACAUUGGGACUGAGACACGGCCCAAACUCCUACGGGAGGCAGCAGUGGGGAAUAUUGCACAAUGGGGGAAACCCUGAUGCAGCGACGCCGCGUGAGUGAAGAAGUAUUUCGGUAUGUAAAGCUCUAUCAGCAGGGAAGAAAAUGACGGUACCUGACUAAGAAGCCCCGGCUAACUACGUGCCAGCAGCCGCGGUAAUACGUAGGGGGCAAGCGUUAUCCGGAUUUACUGGGUGUAAAGGGAGCGUA
rnacentral:rRNA from 1 species